UGCGUAGGCGGAAUAUUAAGUCAGUGGUGAAAUCCUGCAGCUUAACUGUAGAACCGCCAUUGAUACUGGUAUUCUUGAAUUUAGUUGAGGUGGGCGGAACGUGUAAUGUAGCGGUGAAAUGCUUAGAUAUUACACAGAACACCGAUUGCGAAGGCAGCUCACUAAACUAACAUUGACGCUGAGGCACGAAAGCGUGGGUAGCGAACAGGAUUAGAUACCCUGGUAGUCC
rnacentral:rRNA from 1 species